AGCAGCUGUGGCCCACAGGUCACCUGUCCCCACAGCUCAGGCACACCGGAGACCUAUUUCCAACCUACAGGUAGGUGCACACGAAGGCCCUUAUGCCAUUAGGGUGACAUUGACGGGCUUCCGGGUGGCAGAGGGAGACCGGGCAGUCUCACUACUUCCAUGUCCCACUGGUCCCAAGCUGUCCGACCCGUGCUUGCUGGUGAUGUGGUCGUGGUCAUAGUCACUGCUCCAUUCCCUGCCCUGCCUCAGCCAACGUCCCAGCAGCAGUGUAUCCUGCGACGUCUGCGUUUACGGACCCUGUUCAAAAAGCACAGCUGCGUCCCGUCAUUUACACGGCCCUCCUGUUGCUGUUGAAAACGCAGGUGGCUUCUGUUUUCACCGUGACACUGAACACUGCACCCAACAGUGCUUUCUCCUCCAUGCUGACAGCUCCCGGUCAGACUUCCGGACCUGGGCCUUCGGCUCCAAGGGCUUGAAUGUGGGAGUCGUUACAUGUCAGGGAAGGAGACUGAGGUCAGAGGGGGCCGGUGACAGGCUCCAGUGGCCCAGAGGGUUGGUUACUUUGUGGGCUGAUGGUGCCACGGGGCUCUGGGCCUUGCGCUAUUGCUGCAAGUGGCUCCCCAAGUGUCUCCUAAAAAAAAAACCCCUACUGUGAUCUGAUUCUCAUACCGCGGUGAUAUCCAGGCCUGGUGCAUGCAGACACCUGCUCCAUGCAGCGCUGAAGCUUUGGACCCCUGAGCAUGCAAGACUCACUGACCUCCACCUCCCGGGAGGCUGGUAGAACUCGGAAAUAAGGCAGACCAGAAUGGAAGCUCGGCUCAAGGGUUAAUCAAUAGCUAGUACUUUUCCAAACCCUGUUAGUGGACAUUUGGACCAAUAACUAGUGUUUUUCCAAACCCUGAUUAGCAUACACUGGGUGCAAUAGCAUUAGUACUUUCCAAACCCUGAUUAGCAUAAGUUGGACUGUAGCCUUGACCCAGGAGCUCUGUAAACCCCUGGACUAGCACACUCAGAUGGCAAUCCCUGUGGGGUCCCCUCUCGCCCUGUGGGGAUUCUUCACAUACGAAUAAAUCCUCUUCUGUAGAUUUCAUUUUUCGAAUGCAGGAGAUAAGAAUCCAGAAGAAAGAUGGGCGGAGAGCUGCUGGGGUCUGCGGCAACCCCGGAGGGCGCGGUCCACCAUUAAGAUCUGCAACACUUCCUGGCUGCAGAGGAGGUCUGCAGCUUAUGCAGCACCCACCUGCCGGCACAAGCAGAGGCGCUCUGCAGACCUGUGCCUGUUGAAAGCCCCAGGCAAGUCAAGAUGGCGCCUGGCGCUUUGCCAAGAGGAGUGGUUUCAGCCAUUAAGAUGAUAGAGAUUCCUUAAUGACUGACUGCUGUGUCAAGAUAAUGUUAAUUAAGUUAAGCUGUGUGUAAUUAAGAUGAUGAGGAUUCCUUGAUGACUGAUUGAUGUAUCUGGAUGAUGUUAAUUGAAACAAGCUGUGUAUUCAGUUAUGUAUAUAUACCCUUGCUGUCCUACAAUAAAG
rnacentral:lncRNA from 1 species